rnacentral:rRNA from 1 species
GGGGAAUCUUGCGCAAUGGGAGCAAUCCUGACGCAGCAACGCCGCGUGGGUGAUGAAGGUCUUCGGAUCGUAAAGCCCUGUCGGAGGGGAAGAUGCUUGGUGUCGCUAAUAUCGGCAUCAGGUGACGGUACCCUCAAAGGAAGCACCGGCUAACUCUGUGCCAGCAGCCGCGGUAAUACAGAGGGUGCAAGCGUUGUUCGGAAUUAUUGGGCGUAAAGGGAGUGUAGGCGGUUCGUUAAGUCUUCUGUGAAAUCUACGGGCUUAGCCUGUAACGUGCAGAGGAAACUAGCGGGCUUGAGUGUCGGAGAGGAUAGGGGAAUACCCAGUGUAGAGGUGAAAUUCGUAGAGAUUGGGUGGAACACCAGUGGCGAAGGCGCCUAUCUGGCUGACAACUGACGCUGAGACUCGAAAGCAUGGGGAGCAAAC